GUUGAUUAAAUUGAUAUUCCUGAUGGAUUUGAGGCAUCUCAUCAUCAACGGCAAAACACCAGUUACAAUGAGCGAUAAAAAACGGAUAAUUAACUGACUAGCAACGUUUAAGCAACUGUUGACCGUAAUACUGACAACAACAUUCCAAUUUUAAACGUAUCAGUACGACUAGAUCCUGAUUGUACUGGAGAAUCACUGUGCCUCCAAGAAAUAUGUAACAUGCUUAUCAAACAAGAUGAAUCCAACAACAUAAUUGUUGAUGACCAAUCAAAAGAAUGUCGUUAUGACAAAAGUAAACCAAACUCCAAUCAUUUAGAUGGUCGCUUCAAACGAGAAAUAAACUCUCAUAAAAUUGAUGAUAAUGAAAAAUGGAUGAAAGUACUUGCAUCUAGAGCUGGAGCAGAGUGGAUCAAUUACUGCAGAAAAUCAAAUACCAAUUGUUUAUGGUCACAUCAUGACCAUAAUGAAGUUAAAAUAAUCAAUGCAACAAGCAUAUCAGGUUUUUUUGUUCCCAAAUAUCAAAUCUAUUUUAAUUUAACUAAAGCCACUUGUGUUGAAACGAAACCAUUGCAACAUAAUUGUUGGUAUGAUGAUAGUUCAACCGUACUAUGCAAUGUUAAUAUAACUGACUCAUGGAAUUUUGUGAGAAAUAUAUAUCUUAAUACUAUUUGUGAUGAUAAGGGACCCGUUUUGUCGAGUUGGUACUAAGUAAACCAAUAUUUUAUUUGUCAAAUAGAAACAUAAGCUGUUCUGUAAACUAUGUAGUUUAGAUUGAGACUUAUUAAUUUGAAGAAUAUAUUGUUAAAGUUAACAUCAAUGAUCCAAUCAUCAAAAAUCUCGUAAAUAUACAAUUACUUUCGCAUCUAU
rnacentral:misc_RNA from 1 species